rnacentral:misc_RNA from 1 species
AAGUCGUAACAGGUUUCCGUAGGUGAACCUGCGGAAGGAUCAUUAUUGAAUGAACUUGGCGUGGUUGUUGCCUGGUCCUCUUGGGGCAUGUGCACACCCGUCAUCUUUAUCUUUCCACCUGUGCACAUUUUGUAGGUCUAAAAUUUUCCGAGGCAACUCGUUUGGAGGGAUUGCUGUGCAUCACUGUCGGCUUCCCUUGGAUUUCAGGCCUUAUGUUUUCAACAUCACCAUAAAAUGUAUAGAAUGUCAAUAUUGGGCUUUGUUGCCAUAUAACUAAUUAACAAUC